UAGCCUCAGUUGCAUAGGAACCGAGGCGAAAAGUCUACUUUUUGGCUUCAGUUGCAUAGGAACCGGGGCCAAAAGUCUACUUUUUAGCCUCAGUUGCAUCCGAGGCUAAAAGUCUACUUUUUAGCCUCAAUUGCAUAGUUCUCUUUGAUGUGGUCUACCUAUGCAUCACAUCCAGAUUUGUUGAUCUGGGCCUAAAUGAGGUGGCUCAUAUAAUGGACGGUGGAGAUGGAAACAGAUUGGCUACUCAAAGAUCCUGUCCGUUCCUAGCUAGAGACAGAAACAGAUUGGCUACUCCCCGCCACGAGCCUGGUGGCUGGUGGUCGGUGCCACUACAACAAAUUUGUAAAUUUGGAAUGGUUACAUUUUUGGUUUAGGAACUGUUUUAAGCCGAAUGAUUAUAAACCAUUCUAAAUUUAGAAAAAGGGAUGGUGUGGAUUUCUCACCUCUCAUAUGCCCCACUUGAGUUUUAGAUCCACUUCAUUUUUGGUCUCAUGUCUUAAAAGGAUCUCUCAAAGUAGAUGAACGGUGUGGAUUUCUCACAAAAAUUACAGUGGGCCCCACCUAGCAUCCCAGCAUGUGGACCACAAAACAUCAUGGUGGGCCCUAGGAAGGUUUCAAUGGUGGGCAUCAAUCUUCCCGCUGUUUUCUGUGGUGGGGUCCACUAAAGCUUUGGAUCUGCCUCAUUCUUUGGUUCGUGGCUUGAAAUGAUAUCUCCAAACGGAUGGAUGCUGUGGAUACAACACAUACGUCAUAGUGGGGUCCACAGAACUUGGUGACGUCACUUCAGUAGCGAGUCUCGCUACUCAACCUGUUAAGUAUCUAAUCCGCGUCCUCUAUCACCCAAACCCUCAUCUCUUCUCCCUCUGUCUGCGCCCCAAAGUCCCAAGCCCUCAUCCCUCUCUCUCUCUCUCUCAAUGGCUUUCUCUGUAAGCUCUCGCCAAUCCCUCCUCCCUUCCUAUCUCUGCUCAUCUCCUUCAUCCCAAGCCAUAGAUUUGCAGAAAUUCCUCCACAGAAACCCUAGCUUCACGCCGUCUCCAUCUCCAUCUUCCUCAAAUGGAGUUUCCAGGGGCUUCAUCGUUCCAGCGCGUAGCGAGCUCGGCAAGAUCGAGAUGUAUUGACCGGCUUUCUACGCCGCCUGCACCUUUGGUGGCAUCCUGAGCUACAGCCUUACUCACAUGGCCAUCACGCCUCUCGAUCUCGUCAAGUGUAAUAUGCAGGUUUUCUUUCGUUGCUUUAGUGUUUUGAUUUUAGCUCUGAAGCUUCGAUUUCAUUUCUCUUGGGUUGCUUGCUUGGAUGUGAUGUUUCUGUGUAAUUUGUGGUAAGAUCUGUUUGGAUCUUCGAUUGGAACUUCGACCUCUAAAUUUCUAGGUUUAUUAUUAUUAUUUUGUUGAUUUGGUCUUUAUUAGGGUUUGAUUUCUUCAUUUCUAGGUUUUCAACUACCACUUGAUGGAUCAGAGCAUUGGUUUAUAAAUAUCAUGAUUUCCUUCUUAUUUUAUAUUUUUGGUUUUUGAUCCUGGAUAGUAAAUUAGAUUGAUCCUGGUUUUUGAUCCACUUCCAUCGACUUCACUGUUGCCUGUUAGUUGUUAGAGGUUUGGAGAAGGGGAGUGGCAGCCAUGUCCUCUCUCUCUCUCUCUCUCUCUCUCUCUCUCUAUCUCGACUUACAUCCCUGCAUGUGUCGCGUUCACUGGGGCCCACAUGAUUACUGAUCCGAUUAUCAGAACCGUCAAACUUCUGAUUGGAUGUGUUAUGGAAUACCUUGGUAUUUGAGUGCUUUGCCAAUCAGGUGCGUUACACAUGCAUAUAUACCUGUCGCUUUAAAAUAACAACUCCAGGUUUCCAGUGGGACUAGUUUUUAAGAUACAUAUGCCCUUCUGAACUUGUCAUACUCAUGUGAUCAGGCAAACAUAGAUACAUAUCUCAUAUCAAUGGCCAAACAACACAUUAUGUUGCUUCUCUUGGCAUUUCUAUUUUGGGUAGUACUGUUUUUUGAAACAUUGGCAAUGACCGAUUCAUUGGAUGUACAUUGCAGAUAACAAUCUUAAGAAUAACCCAUGGCAUGGAUUUGAUGAGUGGUCGCUCAAGGUAAAAACCAAUGCGCCUAACCGGAGAACUCAAUCGAAACAGCUGCAUGUCACCUUCUCCAAGACCUAUAAACUGCUCAGAGACAUGUUUAUGCAGUGGAGGCAUUUGAAAUGACAGAAUAUGCACGCAGGCUUAUUGCUGAUGCUGGGAAUCCAUCAUUGGGAGAACGGAUUACGGUGUGAUUUUAUUUUGCAGUUUAAACUUAAUACCUGACUUUUUUGAGUUCUUUGCCAAACUCAGAGAGAGAUUUCCAUCUUAUUUCCAUGGUUUCUCUGUUUGUGUUGAGAUUUCAAGUCUCUUGGACUGAGGGAGAAAACCAAUCUCUGUUUUUCUU